rnacentral:rRNA from 1 species
ACGCACGCUGGCGGCGUGCUUAACCCAUGCAAGUCGAACGGAAAGGCCUGCUUUCCCUUGUGGAUUGCGGGUACUCGAGUGGCGAACGGGUGAGUAACACGUGAGUGAUCUGCCCCCAACUUGGGUAUAAGCCUGGGAAACUGGGUCUAAUUCCCGAUAGGACUGCAGGGUGGUGCCUGUGGUGGAAAACGAUUUUCUAGUGGUUGGGGAUGAGCUCGCGGCCUAUCAGCUUGUUGGUGGGGUAAUGGCCUACCAAGGCGGCGACGGGUAGCCGGCCUGAGAGGGUGGACGGCCACAUUGGGACUGAGAUACGGCCCAGACUCCUACGGGAGGCAGCAGUGGGGAAUAUUGCACAAUGGGCGGAAGCCUGAUGCAGCGACGCCGCGUGGGGGAUGACGGCCUUCGGGUUGUAAACUCCUUUCGACCGCGAGGAAGCCACCUGGUUGGAAGGGUGGUGACGGUAGUGGUAGAAGAAGCACCGGCUAACUACGUG